UGCCUCUGGUUCCUUUGCAUUUGAACGAGAAAAUCUUUCGCCUUUUACUAAAGAUUUCCGUGCAAAGGAGCAAUUAUGAGUAUUCAACAAUUUUUGCAACCCCCUCGAAAGAGCGGGGU
rfam:Heligmosomoides polygyrus genome assembly, scaffold: HPBE_scaffold0003439